CCUACGGGAGGCUGCAGUCGAGAAUCAUUCACAAUGGGGGAAACCCUGAUGGUGCGACGCCGCGUGGGGGAAUGAAGGUCUUCGGAUUGUACACCCCUGUCAUGUGGGAGCAAAUUAAAAAGAUAGUACCACAAGAGGAAGAGACGGCUAACUCUGUGCCAGCAGACGCGGUAAUACAGAGGUCUCAAGCGUUGUUCGGAAUCACUGGGCGUAAAGCGUGCGGAGGCUGUUUCGUAAGUCGUGUGUGAAAGGCGCGGGCUCAACCCUCGGACGGCACAUGAUACUGCGAGACUAGAGUAAUGGAGGGGGAACCGGAAUUCUCGGUGUAGCAGUGAAAUGCGUAGAUAUCGAGAGGAACACUCGUGGCGAAGGCGGGUUCCUGGACAUUAACUGACGCUGAGGCACGAAGGCCAGGGGAGCGAAAGGGAUUAGAUACCCGAGUAGUC
rnacentral:rRNA from 1 species